UCCCCGUCCUCACCGUCGUCGAUCGCUAGCGUCGUCCCCUAGCCGGCACCGUACAACCUCGAUGAGUCGACAAUGGAUGUACGGUGACCGGUGCCAUCCCGAGUUCAUUACUGGCAUGCAUUAUUUUCUCAACGUGGCUGAGGCAAACAGGCAGUCGAAUGGUUUCAUGUAUUGUCCAUGUAGUUCCUGUAAGAAUAUGAAGGAUUACUCUA